GGGGCCGUAGUCUAGCUUGGUAGGAUGCCGGCCUGGGGCGCCGGUGAGCCCGGGUUCAAAUCCCGGCGGCCCCACCA
rnacentral:tRNA from 1 species